rnacentral:misc_RNA from 1 species
UCCGGUUUGGCACCGGCAGUCUUCCUAGAGUCCCCGCCAUUACGCGCUGGCAACUAAGAACAGGGGUUGCGCUCGUUGCGCCACUUAAGGCAACACCUCACGGCACGAGCUGACGACAGCCAUGCACCACCUGUGCAGGCUCCGAAGAGCACCGGCUUUCGCCGGUUUCACCCUGCAUGUCAAGCCCAGGUAAGGUUCUUCGCGUCGCAUCGAAUUAAGCCGCAUGCUCCGCCGCUUGUGCGGGGCCCCGUCAAUUCCUUUGAGUUUUAGCCUUGCGGCCGUACUCCCCAGGCGGGGUGCUUAAUGCGUUAGCUUCGGCACGGAAGGGGUCGAUGUCCCCCCACACCUAGCACCCAACGUUUACGGCUAGGACUAC